rnacentral:rRNA from 1 species
GGGGCCCGCACAAGCGGUGGAGCAUGUGGUUUAAUUCGAUGCAACGCGAAGAACCUUACCUGGUCUUGACAUCCACAGAACUUUCCAGAGAUGGAUUGGUGCCUUCGGGAACUGUGAGACAGGUGCUGCAUGGCUGUCGUCAGCUCGUGUUGUGAAAUGUUGGGUUAAGUCCCGCAACGAGCGCAACCCUUAUCCUUUGUUGCCAGCGGUUAGGCCGGGGAACUCAAAGGAGACUGCCAGUGAUAAACUGGAGGAAGGUGGGGGAUGACGUCAAGUCAUCAUGGCCCUUACGACCAGGGCUACACACGUGCUACAAUGGCAUAUACAAAGAGAAGCGACCUCGCGAGAGCAAGCGGACCUCAUAAAGUAUGUCGUAGUCCGGAUUGGAGUCUGCAACUCGACUCCAUGAAGUCGGAAUCGCUAGUAAUCGUAGAUCAGAAUGCUACGGUGAAUACGUUCCCGGGCCUUGUACACACCGCCCGUCACACCAUGGGAGUGGGUUGCAAAAGAAGUAGGUAGCUUAACCUUCGGGAGGGCGCUUACCACUUUGUGAUUCAUGACUGGGGUGAAGUCGUAACAAGGUAACCGUAGGGGAACCUGCGGUUGGAUCACCUCCUUACCUUAAAGAA